rnacentral:rRNA from 1 species
UACGUAGGGUGCAAGCGUUGUCCGGAAUUAUUGGGCGUAAAGGGCUCGUAGGCGGUUUGUCGCGUCGGGAGUGAAAUCCACUGGCUUAACUGGUGGCUUGCUUUCGAUACGGGCAGACUGGAGGUAUGCAGGGGAGAACGGAAUUCCUGGUGUAGCGGUGAAAUGCGCAGAUAUCAGGAGGAACACCGGUGGCGAAGGCGGUUCUCUGGGCAUGUCCUGACGCUGAGGAGCGAAAGCGUGGGGAGCAAACAGG